ACCCGACACAGUGGAGCAGGGACUUGGACCCCCAGGGCACCGAGGCUCCUCCCACAGUGUGGCAAUGUGGACCCCGCUGCUGUGGACAUUGGGGUGCAGUUGUCCCACGUCUCACUGCAUCUGUAUCUUCGGAGUGAGCUCCAGGCCGUACACCUGCUGGUCGCAGGGCGGCUCUAUUUGCAACUUCCUGAGGAGCCUCCACACUGUUUCCAGGGUGCCUGCAGCAGCCCACGGUCCCGCCCACAGUGGAAGAGGGUUGAGUGAGUUUUACAGGACGUGGUAAAAGUCUGGUCCACAUUUCAUUUCGCGUCCUUUGGGCUCCAAUUCUUUCUCCUUAAGUAUUUUUGGGGAAGCCGGGUGUUGGGCUCUUUUUCAGGCAGAUGUUUCUGAAGAUAACAGGCCACAGCUAGAGCCUGGAAGGAGGCAGAGGUUGGCCCAGAGACGGGCACGCUGCCUCCUGCACAGCCUCCUGUAGCGACUGAGCAUCCCGCAGUGGGUGCCCGAGCCCAGGCACCGCCCAGGGGGCACGCAUGCACAGUAGGCCUCCUUUGCCUGCACUAACAGGAGCCAGCCUGUGCUGGGGAGGCCUGAGGAAGACGUGGGGACACAUCCACGUGGAUGAGCCACAGCCUCCUCAGAAACUACGCAGAGUCUUCAGGGGGAUAUUGGGCAGCGUUCAUGAUGACAGGAGCCUCAGUCUCUUCAGGACACACGGUGAGGCUUCAGGAAGAUGUGAGACAACAUCCACCCUGACAAGAGACCCUGGGCCGCUUCCGGCCCUGCGGGGAGGCUUCAGGAAAUUGUGGGCCCGCACCCACCCUGACAGGAGCCCCUGGGCUGCCUCAGGACCCGCAGGGAGGCUUCAGUAAGAUGUGGGCCUGCAUCCACGCUGACAGGAGCCCCUGGGCCACCUGAGGACAUGCCUGGAGGCUUCUGAAAGAUGUGGCGCUGUGUCCACUCUGGCAGGAGCUAACUGGCUCCUCAGGACAUAAGUUGAGGCUUCUGGAAGCUGGGGGCAGCAUCUAAAGUGACAGGAGCCCCAGCCAUUCAGAACCUGCGGUGUCGCUUUGGGAGGACGUGGGGCCACGUCCACACAACAGACGCUGAUGUCCUCAGGACACCCGGUGUAGUCUUCAGGAAAUAUGGGGAUGCGUCCAUGCAGAAAGAAGACCCCAGCCUUGUCAGAGCCUGUGGUGAGGCCUAAGGAAGAUGUGGAUGCUGAAUCCACACUGACAGGAGUCUCCAGCCUCCUCAGGACACACUGUGAAGGAUCGGGAUGAUUUGGGGCCACGUCCGUGCUGACAGGAGCUCCCAAGCUCCUCAAGUCUUAUGGUGAGGCUGAGGAAAAUGUGGGGCCAUGUCCUCCUCAGGACCUGCACUUUGGCUUCGGGACACAUGAGGCUGCGUCUAGGCUGACAGGAACCCACAGCCUCCUCAGGACCCACUGUGAGUUUUCUGGGGGACGUGGGUCCGUGUCCAGGCUGACAAGAGCCUCCAGCAUCCUGAGAACCUGCUGUGAGGCUUCCAGAGUAUGUGAGGCAUAAUCCAGGUUGACAGGAGACCCGGGUCCUCAGGACCCGCUGACUAUGACUCAGGAACACGUGGGGCCACGUCCCCACUCACAGGAGCCCGGCUUCCUCAGGACCCCCUGGAGGACUCUGGAGGCGCCGUUGGGGGCCAUGUCCAUGUCAGAAGGGACUCCUCAGAACCCUGGCUCUUCUUCACAGGGGCCUGGGAUUGCUGGACGUGUGCAAAUGCUGAACUUAAAGUGGAAUGGCCGUAAUGUUCUCGGCCUCCCCACGUCCCGUCCCAUACUCUCUAGCUCCUGCCGCCCUCCCAUGAGCU